CAAUCAUAGAGUUACUAGGCUUAAAAGAUUCGUGUCGCGGUUUACAGACAAAUUGUGCAAUUAGUUUUUGUUUUUAUCUAUAUUUAAUGUUCCAUGCAUGUGCUGCAAGAUUCGAUGUGACGGGAAUCUUGAAAAGUUUUAUGUUUUUUUAGGUGAACUAAACAAGGCCAUAGGACUUGAAAUUAAUUUAAUUAGAUAUAUUAUGAAAUAUAUUUUUAUAAUAUUAAUGGGGGUACAUAUUAAUAUUUUUAAUAUAAUUUUUAUCAAUAAGUUGCUAUAAUUUGACUUAUGACAAAACUAUGCUUGGUCCUUAAAAUACGACCUUUAAUUUGUCUUUCUGGCGAAAUGAUUUGCCGGUGGUGCCAAUGCAAUGAUUUGUUCUAUCAUUGAGCUCAAUAUAUUGUAGUAUAUAUCAUCCAAAUCCCAGGCCAGUACGUAUAAGACGAAGGCUGCAUCAUCUGAUCGUGAUCGGAUUUAGGCAUUGUUCUAUAUAUGUAUGCACCUAAACAAAUGAAGAACACGUUAUUGGUUCAUAAUGCAAUAAGGGCGUGAUGGAAACAGCUAGCUAUCCAUUCUCUCCAUCUCAUGAUGGCGAUGGCGCUGUGCCUGCCGUCAAUUGGUCUCAUCUCAAUAAGCAGGAAGCUUUCGCUGGCUGCCUCUCCUUUCUGCGGAUCCCCUCCUGAUAUGCAUAUGUAUGGGUCCCCGAUCGACGAUAUGAUCGCCUUUUAUCAAUCACACAUAAUAGUAUUGAUGAUCCCAUUGCCAUUGGGGACAAUAAAAGUCAACAACAAGGGGCCUUGUCCUUCGUUGUGUUGAUCUAGACUUUUUUUUCCCUCACUCUCUAGCCCAAGCACCUGGCUUUCUUCUUUUAACUUUGGGACGGCCCAUAUCGGAGGAGGAAGCACAAGCACAAGCCAUAAAUAUUUUUCAAGAUAAAUCUUUGACUCUUUAUUUUUUAUAACUUUGACUCUUAAUUUUUAUAAAAAUAUUUAUCAAAAAGUGGUACUAUAUGUAUAUUUUUAUGAAAGUAUUUUUCAACAUAAAUCUAUUCAUAUGGUUUUCGAAUUUCCAAAUUCAACAACUUAAAAGUUAUUCAUGAUUUAUAUUUUCAAUGUUUGACCCAAACUUUAUCCAAAAUGAUUUUCUUUAUGAGUAUGGAGGAAGUACACUAGCUAGAGGCAGGCAUCUCUCAGAGCUACAACAAGCACAGAUUAAUCUGAGCUCUGACACUCCUUGCAAAAAAAAAAAAAUUAAAUCCAAAGGCUAACACAUUAGAAGCUGCCAUAUCCGUGAAUCUAGUGCAGCGAUGCAGUGGCAACAGUAGCUAGGUAACUUGCCCAAGCCUAGCUACUCAAGUCAGAAGCAGCAGCAGACCUGAAAAUGUCAUUAAGCUUAUUCAUGAACAGAAUAGUAGCCAGUGUAAUUAUGAUAUUCAAACUGAAAAUUCAGUAUGUAAUAGUUAGGGAUGAAAACAGAACAUGCAAAGCCUUCCUUGUCAGUAUGCCUACUUCCUGCCCUUUUAUGCAUGAAAGAUGGAACAUUCCAAGCUACACAUCUUAAUUAUAACCCUAAUUUCAUCUUCACAAGUUUAAUCAUUUUUUCACAAGCGUACCAUAUGGUACGUAUUUCAUUAAGCAAAAAUAGAGUUUUAAGGUUACACAGGACUCGCACACAAUCCUACGGUUACCAAUGAAUCCGCACAGACACAAACGAAAAGGAAGAAACAUGAGGGAGAAGGCAUUGAGGAUGAAGGCCUGUGCACCAACCAAAGCCAACGAACCAUGUCACAAAAGUGCGUAAAGAAAGGCAAAGCCUAAAGGUGAAGACAUCCACAAAAACGAGGCACUCAGGGUAGACGCCUCAGGACUUAGAAUAUGUAUUGGUUAGAGUCAUGCAUGUGUUCAUUUCUCUAUGCCCUUUUUUCCC
rnacentral:lncRNA from 1 species